GGAGAAUAUUCCGAUUUGGAAUAAGGCUGUAAAUAACAAAAAUGUGGAAAAAGUGAAGCGCUGUGAAUAGCGUCCAGAUGGACUGCGCAUGAUGUUCAAAUAAAGGCGUCACCUGUAUCUAAAGCUGGAGCCUUUGGACGACAGCAGCGGCAUCUUGUGCGCCGCCGCGGGCUCCUCGGCCAGCCGGAAGAAGGCGUGGUACUCCACGCACGUUUUCCAGAACGCUUUGCACGCAUCCCGAGUUGCCAUGCGGAACUCCAGCGUGUCCUUGCGGGUCGGCUGCGCGUCAACACACGAGGUCACCGACUAACGUGGCCCCACUUAAAAAGAAACAAAAAAAGUCUCUCACCCCGACGGCGUCGUGCAGCUUGAUGAGGAAAUGUUUGCGUUUGAAGCUCAGUUUGCGAAUCUUGGCCCAGCUGAACACGUUGAUCUUGGUGUUUCCCUGAGCAAAACAAUCCAAAGUUUGACCGAAGCGGGGCGGGAAGGUCCACGUGAGCCGACGAGCCCGUACCUGAAAGACCAGCACGCCGCAGUGCGUGACGGCCAGACUGAUGCGCGCGCCCUCGCCGUCGCUGGCCGACUGCGGCCUGAUGCCGUACAUGUCCAGCUUCCUGGCCAACUCCAGGAGGUGGACGUCCGACUCGGCCGGGGACGAACCUCUGUGGGGGGGGAUUGGGCACGCUGCCGUCUUGUGUCAAGGAACGAUUGUGAAGUGAGUUGAGGAGUUUCACUUAGACAAAUGUAGUGCUUUGGCGCCAUCUAACUCUCAAGGAACUAUGUCGCAGUGAGUUGAGGAGUGUCAUUUCGACAAAAUAUUGCUUCGCUGCCAUCUUGCGGCAUCUCGAUGUCAAGGAACGAUUUUGAAGUGAGUUGAUGAGACAAAACCAGUGCUUUGUCGCCAUCUUGUGGCAUCUCGGUGUCAAGGAACUAUGUUGAAAUGAUUUGAGGGGUGACGUUUAACCCGAAAUAGUGCGAGAUGGCGCGCUCGUGGCAUCUGUAGGCAAUUAUGUGCUUUUCUGUUGUUGUUUUUCAGAGGGAGGGGUGUCGAUGACCGGCGGGGUUCGCUGUACCUGUGUUUCUUGUGGAAGCGGAGGAUCUUGUGGUCCAGGUACUCCUGGUUGGGGACGUACUGCUUCAUCCCCAGGUGCUGACAGUCCAGCUCCUCGUCGUAGUCCCCGAGUUCUGCUACUUUGCGGCGUGUCCUUGUGCGCGUCUGCCGCUCGGCCAUCGCGCGCCACAAAGAUUCAGCGGAGGAAUAAAUCAACGUUUGUUGAAACUUCUGUCUUCUCUCAACGGGGAUUUCGUCCAGACCGAUCCCAUGGUUACUGGCCCUGGAAGACGCAAACACAGCGACUUCGGCGACCUGCCCUUCCUACCGCCAAUAAAUCAGUACCGAGUGUACGCGUCUGUGCGCGGGUCCUUACCCUCCCUUCACGUCCGGGGGAACAGGCAGAGGUUUAUUGAAGCCGUCUCGCCCCACCAGCCAAAAGGUGUCCUCUGAACCUUUCACCUAAAAGCACAUGCUCUAAUUGUCAGAGGGUCACGUACAGUAAGCAUUUCUUUUAUUGAUUUUUUUAAACAUGCACAGUAAGCCUAAAAACACAACAUGGUGGAAACUCAGUACCUGAGCUUUUCUGGUCUCCAUGUGGUAGCCCAGUUUGAGGCUCGUCAGGACCUUCACUGUACUCAGACUAAUGUGGAUUCUGUAUGCUGCAAAAGCACGAAAAAGCACUUUAUUCAACAUUCCCAAAUGAUUGGACGGUUUGGAUGAGCUGUUUGCACGUACAAAGUCCGCUGGCUUCCAUGUGAGAAGCGGUGGUCACAGUAUCUCCGAACAGACAGUACCUGGGCAUCAUGAGACCCACCACGCCUGCCACAACUGGACCUGGACACACAAAUCGUUACACUUGUAAUGAAAACAUGUAAUUGUAUGUGUGCUAUUAUUUUAAGUGGACUCCGUUUGUUUAUUCUUGUGAUUUGGAGGAUCAGACUCCAUUUAGGAAAUUCCAAACAUAGUUCUUCCUCCCACUGUAAGGUAUGAAACGGUAUCGUAACAAGGCCAAUGUUUACAUACCAGAGUGGAGUCCGAUUCUUAUCUUGACUUUAAUCUCCGGCAUGUGCUUGAUCUUAAACGCUCCAAUGGAGUGCAGGAUAUCCAGCGACAUGUUGGACACCUCGGCCGCGUGUCGAUGGCCGUUCCGGUUGGGAACGCCGGACGCCACCAUGUAGGCGUCGCCGAUCGUUUCCACCUGAACGCGCACAGCAAACUAUGAGCUUGAGGUCAAACUUGCGUUUCAAAUGCUCCCUGGAGUGGAGUCCUACCUUGUAGACGUCAUGGGACGCAAUGAUGGCAUCAAACAUGGUAUAGAGGUCAUUGAGCAGGUCCACCACCUACACACAGGACAGGACGUAUCGGAAGGCAUUUUUAAACGACACGAUGCGUUGGUGGACAUUUUUUAUAAGACAUGAUAUAUCGCAAGUAGGCAUUUUUUUAAACAACAUGACGCAUACAAAGGUUUCUUUUUAAUGGCGCGAACAGUCAGGCAUUUUUUUUUAAGCAUGAUGUAUAUGGCAUCUUUUAAACGACAAACACUAAUGUGUUGUCAGGUUGUUGUUUUUUUUUCCCCCCAAACAAAGAUGUAUAACAGGUGUCAAACGUCGAGCUCGCGGGCCAGAACCGGCCCGGCAGGGGUUUCAAUGCGGCCCGUGGAGAUAGAAAACAUUCACUGCUAUUUUGGUCCACUGGAGGGCGCACUGACGACCCCUCCUGAAAGUUGUAGAAUGAGUGGUCAUUCUGUGAGCUCACUGCAUUGCAUCCCCUAUAUUUGGUUAAAUGCGGUGACGCUGCUCACAUUUUUUUACAUUUUGUGAGUGGAUUUCAAAUUGAAAAUAAAGUGAAAUGUGAGGCCAA